rnacentral:lncRNA from 1 species
AAGGAAGCAGAUGGAUUCAUGACAAAAUUGUAUUUUGGUGAUGGUGAUGUGUUUGUACAUCUUACUUAUGAACUUGGCCCAGUAGUUUCAGUGGAAAAUGUUAGUAAAAAUUUACAAAUUUUAUAAAAAUUGUUGAAAAUUGACUAUAAAGGACAAUAACUCCUUAGGGGGUCAAUUGACCAUUUCGGUCAUGUUGACUUAUUUGUAAAUCUUACUUUGCUGAACAUUAUUGCUGUUUACAGUUUAUCUCUAUCUAUAAUAAUAUUCAAGACAAUAACCAAAAACAGC